CAUUGAUGAGUUUGGUAAAAAGAUUUGCGAUCUAUGAUCUGGAAAGGACAUGGAUAGUCUAGAUGAAGCCUUGUUGAAGUUGCUUGUGGACAACGUGGCAAGUUUUAUCCAAGUGCUUAGUCCAUUUGUGGAAAACGGGAUUGAAAGUUAUAUGUUGUGCAGCCCUGAUAUUGUAAUGAAGAAGAACAGGUAGCUUUAUCUACAUUUGAAACUCUUUUAAGAUGUAGCUAACCCAUUUCAAUUUACAUACAAUAGAAGUUAUGCUUAACUAUUCGACUUAUGUCGUGGAUUUGCUGACGGUAUUUUGUUUCUUCAUUUUUCAGGAUAUGAGUU
rnacentral:lncRNA from 1 species